GUAUUUCAUUUAGGAAGGACAAGUCAAAUGCACAGCUACAGAAUGGGGAAUAACUGGCUAGGAGGUAGUACGGCUGCAAAGGAUCUGGGGGUCAUACUAGAUCACAAAUAAUACUAGGGGUCAACAAUGUAACGGAACUGUGAAAAAGGCUAAUAUCAGUGUGGGACGUAUUAACAGGAGUGUUCUGUGUAAGACAGGGGAUGUAAUUGUCCCGCACCGAAGCCUCAGCUGGAAUAGUGAGUGCAAUCCUGGGUGCCCCUCUUUAGGAAAGACGAGUCCAGAGGUGAGCAACCAAAAAUGAUCAACGGUUCAGAAAACCUGACCUGAAAGGUUAAAAAACAACUAGGCAUGUUUAGUCCUGAGAAAAGGAAGCUGAGAGGGGAUCUGAGAACAGCCUUCCAAUCUGCUAAGGGCUGCUCCGAAGAGGACUGUAAAUAGGCUUCCAAGGGAGGUUGUGGAAUCCCCAUCACCGGAGGGUUUUAAGAAUAGGUUGGACAAACACCUGGCAGGGAUGGUCUCGGUUUACUUGGUCCUGCCACAGAUCAGGUUCUGGAUUGAUGAGGCCUUGUGGCCCCUUCCAACCCUGUAUUUCUAUGAUUCUGUGAUCCCAGACUGAUGACAACAGCCCUCAAGGUAUCCUGCGGAGAGCAGAAACCAGGAGGAAAGACAGAAAUUAAGCGAACCCCUUACACGACAACCUUUAUAUUAUUGGCUGCAAAUAUACAACAAUGGUCGCAACAGUGAUCUACACAGUUACAGAUUAUUUCAAUAACAUCACAGGAGGGGACACGGCAUCAGAGAGACUGAUAUUGGAAUACUGCAUCCCGUUUUGGUGUCCUCAUUCGAGAAAGAUGUUGUGAAAUUGGAGCUGGGCAGCAAAGACCCACCAAAUGUUCUGAGGGCUGGAGAAAAAUGACUUCUCGUGAGCUACUGAAAGAGCUCGACCUGUUUAGCUUAUCAAAAGAAGAUUGAAAGGUGACUUCAUUGAAGUGUUGAAGUGCCUUAAUGGAGAGAAAAUAUUGGAUAUUAAAGGGCUCUUUAAUCUAGCAGAGAAAGGCAUAACAAGACCCAAUGGCUGGAAGGUGAAAAGAGAUUCAUAUGACAAAUAAGGCACAAAUGUUCAACAGCGAGGAUGAUGAGUGAGGAGAAGGGAGAGAACAACACUGAACAUCAUCCAUCCAUUGCUCCAUCACCUAGAGCAAGAUGGCCAGGUUCCUGGGGGUGUUCAGGAAGAAGGCUCUGCAGGUGGCCCCAGAGCCUGAGGGAAGCAGCUGCCAUCUUCCCCAGGAGCAGAGUGGCCCCUCCAUCCCCGCUGGCAGGGAAGGAGCUCCUGGCUGGGCCAGGAGGUGGAAGUGCCCGGCCUUCUGGCAGAGAAAACCCGCUCCUGGUGCAGGCGCCGAGAUGGGAGAGGCAGUGGCCAGGCCAAAAUGGAGCUGGGCCAGGAUGCAGCUGUCAGGCAGGACCCAGCCCAGGAGCAGAACCUGGCAGGGUGGCUCUGGGGCUUGUUGUAUGGGCAGCAGCAGCCCCAGGAGCCCAGCCGUGAUUUCCAGCAGGAGGCAUCGCCCUGCCCGGUC